rnacentral:rRNA from 1 species
CGUCCAAGUUGUGAGAUGAGAAACGAGGCAAAUCCCGUUUCUAUAUAACAUCAAGCAGUGAUGGCAAGAGGUUUACCUCAGAGUCCCUGAUUUCACACUGCCAAGAAAAGCCUCUAGCGAGGCGGGAGUCCCUGAUUUCACACUGCCAAGAAAAGCCUCUAGCGAGGCGGGAGGUGCCCGUACCGCAAACCGACACAGGUAGGCGAGAAGAGAAUUCUAAGGUGAGCGAGUGAACUCUCGUUAAGGAACUCGGCAAAAUGACCCCGUAACUUCGGGAGAAGGGGUGCUCUGGUAGGGUGUUACAGCCCGAGAGAGCCGCAGUGAAUAGGCCCAGGCGACCGCCCCAGUCAAACUGCCCGCCUGACACUGUCUCCCAAGCCGCUMAGGCUUGUGGGUUAGAAGUUCAAUACAACCAGGGUAGUAUCCCACCGACGCCUCCCCNGRWGCUGGAAGGUUAAGGGGAGUGCUUAGCGCAAGCGAAGGUGCGAACCGAAGCCCCAGUAAACGGCGGCCGUAACUAUAACGGUCCUAAGGUAGCGAAAUUCCUUGUCGGGUAAGUUCGSRACCGCACGAAAGGCGUAACGAUCUGGGCACUGUCUCAACGAGAGACUCGGUGAAAUUAUAGUACCUGUGAAGAUGCAGGUUACCCGCGACAGGACGGAAAGACCCCGUGGAGCUUUACUGUAGCCUGAUAUUGAAUUUUGGUGCAACUUGUACAGGAUAGGUAGGAGCCAGAGAACCCGGAGCGCCAGCUUCGGGGGAGGCGUCGGUGGGAUACUACCCUGGUUGUAUUGAACUUCUAACCCACAAGCCUGAGCGGCUUGGGAGACAGUGUCAGGCGGGCAGUUUGACUGGGGCGGUCGCCUCCUAAAGAGUAACGGAGGCGCUCAAAGGUUCCCUCAGAAUGGUUGGAAAUCAUUCGCAGAGUGUAAAGGCACAAGGGAGCUUGACUGCGAGACGGACAGGUCGAGCAGGGUCGAAAGACGGACUUAGUGAUCCGGUGGUUCCGCAUGGAAGGGCCAUCGCUCAACGGAUAAAAGCUACCCCGGGGAUAACAGGCUUAUCUCCCCCAAGAGUCCACAUCGACGGGGAGGUUUGGCACCUCGAUGUCGGCUCAUCGCAUCCUGGGGCUGUAGUCGGUCCCAAGGGUUGGGCUGUUCGCCCAUUAAAGCGGUACGCGAGCUGGGUUCAGAACGUCGUGAGACAGUUCGGUCCCUAUCCGUCGCGGGCGCAGGAAAUUUGAGAGGAGCUGUCCUUAGUACGAGAGGACCGGGAUGGACACACCGCUGGUGUACCAGUUGUUCUGCCAAGAGCAUCGCUGGGUAGCUAUGUGUGGCCGGGAUAAGUGCUGAAAGCAUCUAAGCACGAAGCCCCCCUCAAGAUGAGAUUUCCCAUUGCGCAAGCAAGUAAGAUCCCUCAGAGACGAUGAGGUAGAUAGGUUCGGGGUGGAAGCGUGGCGACACGUGCAGCUGACGAAUACUAAUCGAUCGAGGACUUAACCAA